GAGAAAAGAUACCGGUAGAGUCACGUCCGUCUCAUAAAAUCGACCCACGUCGCGGUGCUUAGCACAGCCACACCACCAGUGUGCUCUUCUAAACGAGAGAAGACGAAUCAAUUGAAAUUCAUUAAAGUUCAACCACAAACCGAGAUCUCGCGUAUAUGAACUGAAGGAUCGGACAGAGGGCGCUCGUGCUUCCGUCAAACGGUUAUAUUAUUCGAACAUUGUUAAUUCCGUAACAAUGCAUGUCGCGUAUCAGUGUUAAUUUUUAUCUCGUGCAAUAAGAUUCUCGACACUUGAGGAUGGUUGAGUCACCACGUAUAAGACAUCUUCUACGAUAAGUAUAUAUAUAUGUAUAUACAUAUACAUAUAUAUAUAUAUAUGUGUAACGAAAUAGAGAAAGAAAGGCAGAAAGAUUUCACGCGGUCAGCGUCAAUAUGUGGCAUUAAACAUGCUGAAAAAGGAUGUUAAAGGAUAAUGGGGAUAACGUCGAAAGACGUGGAUGAGGCAAAGCGAGCUUGUCGUUUCUCACGUGGUUGCUUACAAUGGCUAAUAGGUUAUUAUUUCUUAUACGAGUCGAGAAGAGGGGUAUACGAUAGAAAUUGCGCUCGAUGAAACACGCUUCCUAUUAUUUUUGUGUUUCUUUAAACGGCCGUCAAAAGAAUUUUUAUUACGACACAAUGCGCCACUCGAAGAGAAAUUUAUCUCUCUUGUGUACCGGUUGAAUGCUCGUAGACGGUGCAUUUCGGUCCGUUUAUGAGCGCAGAAUGGGAUUUACAUACACGCGCAGAGACACGCGAGAUCCCGCCACCCCUAUUUAAUUCCAUAUUACCCUUCCUGAAAGGAACAAAAA